rnacentral:rRNA from 1 species
CACGUAAGGAGCGAGCGUUGUUCGGAAUUAUUGGGCGUAAAGGGCGUGUAGGCGGUUAACUAAGUCUUAUUUGAAAUACCGAUGCUCAACAUCGGAAACGGGUAUGAAACUGGUUAACUAGAAUCCGGUAGGGAAAUGUGGAAUUUCUAGUGUAGGGGUGAAAUCUGUUGAUAUUAGAAAGAACACCAAUGGCGAAGGCAACAUUUUGGGCCUGGAUUGACGCUGAGGCGCGAAAGCAUAGGGAGCAAACAGG